GGGCUGAGCCUCGGGAAGGUUCGGGAUCAUCCCGGUGGGAUUUGGGGAGGAUUUGGGAAGGGCUGAGCCUCGGGAAGGUUCGGGAUCAUCCCGCUGGGAUUUGGGAUCAUCCCGGUGGGAUUUGGGGAGGAUUUGGGGAAUUUGGGGGGGGGAUUUUGGGGGGAUCUGAGACCGGGAACUCAUUGCAGGGAUGGGGCCGGGCUGGGAUCACCCCGGGAAGGUUUGGGAUCAUCCCGAUGGGAUUUGGGAGGGGCUGCACCUCAGGAAUGUUUGGGAUCAUCCCGGUGCGAUUUAGGAUGAUCCCGAUGGGAUCUGGGGAGGAUUUGGGGGAAUUUGGGGGGAUCCGAGACCGAAAAUCCUCCCCGGGCCCGGGUGGGGCACCCUAAACCCUCCCGAUUUUGGGAAUGGGGGACACGGACACCCCAACCAUUCCCGGUUUUUGGGGUGGGAGACCCCAAACUCUUCCCGGCUUCUGGGGUGGAGCCCAGGACCCUCCAAAGGCGCCGAUCCAGCCCCUGCGGAUCCCCGGAUCCCUCAUCCCGAGCGUUCCCGAAGCCCCAGGAAAACCUCGGGAAUGGGCCCAGCCCCGGUGCCAGGGCGGGAAUUCCACGGGAACACCGGGAGCACCGACCGGGAUCCCUCGGGAAAGCGGGAAUGGGACGGGCCGGGAAUGCUGACGGGGGAACGUCCCUGCGGAUCGUCCUGGAAGGAAAACGGGGACCUGGGAAAGGAUCCGGGGAAUCCCAGCCCUGGGAAAGGAUCCAGGGAAUCCCAGCCUGGGAAAGGAUCCCGGGAAUCCCAGCCCCGGGAAAGGAGCCGGGGGGUGUCUGGGAUCCCCAUUCCCAUGGAAAAGGAUCCAGGGGGAUCCCGAGGACUCCCAUCCCUACGGACACGGAUCCAGAGGGUGUUUGGGAUCCCCAUCGCACGGGACAAUCCCGGGAAUGUCAGCAAUCCCGGGAAUAUCAGCAAUCCCAUCCCGCGGCCGCAUCCGGAGCCCCGGGAUUCCAGGGAAAGGCUCCGGGAACGCUCCUGGAGCGGGAGCGGCUCCUUCCCCCAUUCCCCCAUUCCCACCGGGAUCAGGCGGGAACGGCCUCAGCUCUCCCACAUUCCCACAUUCCCCCUUUCCCACAUUCCCAAAUUCCCCCUUUCCCACAUUCCAGAGCCGUCUCCUUUUCCCACCGAUCCGGGAGCGCUCCCGGAUCCCAUUCCCGGGUCCCAUUCCCGGAACCCAUUCCCGGAACCCAUUCCCGGGAUGCAGAGCCCAGGGAAUUCCGAGCUGCGAUCCCUGGGAUAUUCCCGCAUUUCCGGCUCCCGAGGGAGCUCUUCCCUUUUCCCGCUUUUCCCCCAAACCCCUCCCGGGGUUUUUCCUGCCGGGAUCCCGGAAAAGCUGCAGGGACCAUCCCGAGGAAUUCCCGGGAUUCUCCCGCCCCGUUUCCCAGGGAACGGUGGGAACUCAGCGCAAUUCCAAAGGGAAUCCCAACCCCCCCCAUCCCGAGCCGGAGCUUUUCCCGAAGAAUCCCAUCCCCCAUCCCCAGGGCGGAGCUUUCCCGACAAUUCCCGGCGGGAAGAAUUCCAGAGGGUUCCCGGAGCCCAGGCUUUGUUCGCUCCGCUUUUCCAGCUCCCCCAUUCCCGGGAAAUCCCUCGCAUCGUCCUUGGGAAAGCGGGGCCGGGAGCGCCCCCGGGGCCGGAUCCGGCCGCGCAUUCCCGACGUUUUCCAGAGGCGGAGUUCGUUUUCCCGGGAAUUCUUUCGGCCGCGGCAGCGCCGGGAGCGUUCCCGGGCCGGGAGCUUCACAUGAAAUCGUCGGAGUCGUUCCCGUCCUGCGGGAAAAAACCGGGAAAAAACCGGGAAUGCGGGAACGGGGAUGGCCGGGAAUUCCCGCGGCUCCGGGCGAGUCCCGGGAAUUGCGGCGAUUCCCGGGAAAUCGAAGCCCAGCGCGGCGGGAAUGCCGGGCUGGAGCGGGGGGAGGGAGCCCCGGGAUGAUCCCGAUCCCAUCCCGGCACUUCCCGGGAUCCCGGGGGGCUCCAAGUGUUCCUUGGACACUUCCCGGCCCCCGGCGGCUCCUCCCCCCCCCUCGGGAUGGGAGCUCCGGGAAUUCCCAUUCCCGAUCCCAUUCCCAUUCCCAGUUCCCAUUCCCAGUUCUGGCUGCUGUUCCUUUGGGAUGGGAGCUCCGGGAAUUCCCAUUCCCGAUCCCAUUCCCAUUCCCAGUUCCCAUUGCCAGCUCCGGCCGCUGUUCCUUUGGGAUGGGAGCUCCGGGAAUUCCCAUUCCCGAUCCCAAUCCCAUUCCCAAUCCCAUUCCCAGUUCCCAUUCCCAGCUCCGGCCGCUGUUCCCUUAGGAUGGGAGCACCAGGAAUUCCCGAUCCCAAUCCUGAUCCCAAUCCCAUUCCCAGUUCGAAUUCCCUGUUUCCAUUCCAAUCCCAUUUCCAAUCCCAAUCCCGUUCCAGUUCCCAUUCCCAUUCCCAGCUCCUCCCUUGGGAUGGGAGCACCGGGAAUUCCCAUUCCCAUUCCCAAUCCCAUCCCCAUUCCCAGCCCCAUUCCCAGCCCCAGCGGCUCCUUCUUCGGGAUGGGAGCUCCAGGAAUUCCCAAUCCCAAUCCCAUUCCCAGACCCUGUUACCAUUCCCAUUCCCAGCUCCUCCCUCAGGAUGGGAGCACCGGGAAUUCCCAUUCCCAAUCCAGUUCCCAUUCCCAGCUCUGGCAGCUCCUCCCUCGGGAUGGAAGAUCCAGAAAUACCCAUCCCAAUCCCAUUCCCAGUUUGAAUUCCCUGUUUCCAUUCCCAGUUCCCAUUCCCAGCUCCAGCGGCUCCUCUCCUUCAGGAUGGGAGCACUGGGAAUUCCCAUUCCCAUCCCAAUCCUGUUCCCAAUCCCAUUCCCAUUCCCAUCCCAAUCCCAUUCCCAUUCCCAUCCCAAUCCCACUCACAAUCCUAAUCCCAAUCCCAUUCCCAUUCCCAAUCCCGUUCCCAUUCCCAAUCCCGUUCACAUUCCCAAUCCCAUUCCCAAUCCCAUUCCCAAUCCCAUUCCCAAUCUCAUUCCCAAUCCCAAUCCCAUCCCAAUCCCCAUCCCCAUCCCAUUCCCAUUCCCAAUCCCGUUCCCAAUCCCAAUCCCAUUCCAUUCCUCAUCCCAUUCCAUUCCUCAUUCCCUUCCCA
rnacentral:lncRNA from 13 species